UUCACCCAUUGCAAUAAUCAGCAAUUGAAAGAGCAUGCCAGCUCCUGAAGUUUUUGUUCUACAGAUGCAGUGGUUCUGAAGUAGGAAAACAAGGUAGUGGACCAUAAAAGAUCAAACAAUGGCUGUCCCGGUCCCUAAUAGGAGAACCUUUCUGCUCCCUUCUUCAAGAGAGGAAGAUGAUCGACUGAAUCGUAGGGCUAAGAAGAUUAAAGGGGGAGAAUCUGGGAACAAAGGGUUUAUACUGGAUGGGCAUUGAAUCCGAGAAGGCUCGAUUGUCUCUGAGCAUGUUUUUAGAAUACUAUAAUGAGACAGCUCUAUUUCUUAUGGGGAAUAUCAAAAUUGAUGGGAAGACCUCAGGGCAUUUGAUUGAUCGGGGAAACAACUCAUGUUGGGUUUUAAGCUGUGUUGACUGAAAGAUGAAGGAGGGUUGGGCUUUAGAAGGCUUGAAGCUGUGAAUGGUGCAUGGGUAGAUAAGAUUGCGUGGAAUCUAGCUUCAGGUAUAAAAAGGACUAUGGGUGGGCAUGCUUACUCAGAAAUACAUACAUGGAAUCAGAAUUGCUGAUAAUUGUUUGAGGAGCUUAAGUUCUAAUGAAACUUGAGUAAAAA